AGAGUUUGAUCCUGGCUCAGAUUGAACGCUGGCGGCAGGCCUAAUACAUGCAAGUCGAACGGUAACAUUUCUAGCUUGCUAGAAGAUGACGAGUGGCGGACGGGUGAGUAAUGCUUGGGAACUUGCCUUUGCGAGGGGAAUAACAGUUGGAAACGACUGCUAAUACCGCAUAAUGUCUUCGGACCAAACGGGGCUUCGGCUCCGGCGCAAAGAGAGGCCCAAGUGAGAUUAGCUAGUUGGUAAGGUAACGGCUUACCAAGGCGACGAUCUCUAGCUGUUCUGAGAGGAAGAUCAGCCACACUGGGACUGAGACACGGCCCAGACUCCUACGGGAGGCAGCAGUGGGGAAUAUUGCACAAUGGGGGAAGCCCUGAUGCAGCCAUGCCGCGUGUGUGAAGAAGGCCUUCGGGUUGUAAAGCACUUUCAGUUGUGAGGAAAAGUUAGUAGUUAAUACCUGCUAGCCGUGACGUUAACAACAGAAGAAGCACCGGCUAACUCCGUGCCAGCAGCCGCGGUAAUACGGAGGGUGCGAGCGUUAAUCGGAAUUACUGGGCGUAAAGCGCACGCAGGCGGUUUGUUAAGCUAGAUGUGAAAGCCCCGGGCUCAACCUGGGAUGGUCAUUUAGAACUGGCAGACUAGAGUCUUGGAGAGGGGAGUGGAAUUCCAGGUGUAGCGGUGAAAUGCGUAGAUAUCUGGAGGAACAUCAGUGGCGAA
rnacentral:rRNA from 1 species